CGGUAAUACGGAGGGUGCAAGCGUUACUCGGAAUCACUGGGCGUAAAGGACGCGUAGGCGGUCAGAUAAGUUGGAUGUGAAAUCCUAUGGCUUAACCAUAGAACUGCAUCCAAAACUGUUUGACUAGAAUGAGGGAGAGGUCAGUGGAAUUAGUGGUGUAGGGGUAAAAUCCGUAGAGAUCACUAGGAAUACUCAUUGCGAAGGCGACUGACUGGAACUUUAUUGACGCUGAGGCGUGAAAGCGUGGGGAGCAAACAGGAUUAGAUACCCUGGUAGUCCACGCCCUAAACGAUGUACACUAGUUGUUGGGAUGCAAGUCAUCUCAGUGAUGCAGCUAACGCAUUAAGUGUACCGCCUGGGGAGUACGGUCGCAAGAUUAAAACUCAAAGGAAUAGACGGGGACCCGCACAAGUGGUGGAGCAUGUGGUUUAAUUCGAAGAUACGCGAAGAACCUUACCUGGGCUUGACAUCCCAAGAAUCAUCCAGAGAUGGAUGAGUGCCAGUUUACUGGAACUUGGUGACAGGUGCUGCACGGCUGUCGUCAGCUCGUGUCGUGAGAUGUUGGGUUAAGUCCCGCAACGUGCGCAACCCUCGUCCUUAGUUGCUAACAGUUCGGCUGAGCACUCUAAGGAGACUGCCUCCGCAAGGAGGAGGAAGGUGAGGACGACGUCAAGUCAUCAUGGCCCUUAUGCCCAGGGCGACACACGUGCUACAAUGGGGAGGACAAUGAGAGGCGAUACCGCGAGGUGGAGCAAAUCUAUAAACCUUCUCUCAGUUCGGAUAGCACUCUGCAACUCGAGUGCUUGAAGCUGGAAUCACUAGUAAUCGUAGAUCAGCCAUGCUACGGUGAAUACGUUCCCGGG
rnacentral:rRNA from 1 species